ACGCUCGACACCUACGGGAGCAGCAGUGGGGAAUAUUGCACAAUGGGGGAAACCCUGAUGCAGCGACGCCGCGUGAAGGAAGAAGUAUUUCGGUAUGUAAACUUCUAUCAGCAGGGAAGAAGAUGACGGUACCUGAGUAAGAAGCACCGGCUAAAUACGUGCCANNCGCGGUAGUAUGNGCGGCGUGCGAGACG
rnacentral:rRNA from 1 species